UAAGCGAGAUCCGUAGUAUAAACGUGUGGUAAAAUCCAUUAUAUUUCUAGUCUCAUGAACAGCUAAUAUACAUAUUUUAUUCCUUCACCAGUAACACAAGUUUAACGUUUCGUAUAGUUACCAUACCUUGCCAAUAUGUUCUCAUUAAUUGUUUAAUAAUUAAGUCAAUACACUUUUGAUCUACUGAUCACAUGUAAUACGUGAAAAUUACGUCGUACAUAGACUUGUCAUAUCGAUACACAGAAUUAUAUACCUACUCGGGCCGAAACGUAAACAAGAUUUGUUUCGUACCUUUCUGACCUUCAUAUCCAAGAAUACUACCCUUUUCAACAUAGUGAGGGCAGGAAUCAACUUUUACAUCAUUUACUUACAUAUUGCGAUGUUUGAAUUUGGAACUAUAAUCAUUAUAUUCAAGUUUUUCUCAUGUUAGCAGUGACUAAAAUUCAACGUUUUGUUAUCCUCCUCAGCACGUUUUUCUGAUUACCUUAAAUUUUGUAAACAACUGGUCAUUCGAUUUCCAAUCUUUUUUUUCAUUCGAUAAACUAGUAAGUAUCAUCAAAAAUAUGAAAAAAUUCAGGUGACAUAACACUAGAAGUGAUAAUUUUAUUCUACGUAAUAUUGUAAAGUAGAACAAUAUGUUACCUCCAUUUUUUCAAAUUCUUUUCCUUGUGUUAUUGUUAAUUCCCUAACAUAGGAAAAAAAGUUGAAAAAUCGAUGAACAGAUUUUUUUACAAAGGUCACCAAGAAAUUACGUAGUUGAGCAUAUAAGUGCAUCCCUUCGCGGCGUCUUUAUUAAUUGUAAAACAUACGUUUUCCUAUACCAUAAUGUAUAUAUUGGAAUAACCCAUGCUAGGAAAGCGAGUGGCCGUAGAUGAAGCUCGUGUACCAUGGAUGUUACAUAUACGUAUAAUGAGCGCAUGUAUCAAACGACAAGCGGUCGCGAAGAAUCGAGAAUGUCCGAGCGUGAAAUACUCGCGCCUCUUCUUCUGCCUCUGAUUGGCUCGCUAGGUCAGCGUGUUGUAACUCGUACGGUUCCUGCACGCUGAGAGCCGAGGACGACGCGUCAGAAUGCCCCCCCCCCACCGUUCGCGAAGGCUCUCAGCUCACGCGAUCAGUGAAUCAGUCUAAUUUGACCAACUUCCGAGGUCAGUGCACGUCCGUGUUUAUGUGAGCCUUCAUAAGCUGGUAUUUGACGGAUUAGCAGUGAUAUCGAGGAAGUGAAUGCUCCAGCUGCGGUCGAAUAAUAAUUAAAACUUAUGCGUACUGCGUACCUAGACAACGCUUUCUAUAGCGUCUGUGUUCUUUUUUGAAAUAAUGUGCCAAUACUUUUUAUUAUUUUACUUUGUCAGGAUUGUGAUUUUUUACCUAGUCCCGAGAUGAAAGUUAACAAUUUUCCUCGUUAGGGUAUAAUCAUUGUAUGAUUAUUUUGUUUCAUGUUUUAUUUGUUAUCAAACCUCUUGUAUCGGAUAUAAGUUUUUGUUUGUUCAUGUUCACUUAAUUUUACUAUUUGCUAUACUUCUAUACUCUUGUGAGUACAUCUGUACAAUUGAGGUAUGCGUAUAUGUAAAAGACUGUAUGUUUAUUUAUACAUCCCAGUCAACAUUCACACAGUUACAUCGUUGGCAUAAUAAAAUGUCCGCAUCAACGAUACAGACAAACUGGUAUAUAAAAAACUACUGUUAUGUUUCGGAUACAUUGUUAAAGCGGAUAUUUCGAUACGUGUGCAAUGUAACUAUUGUCAUUGUUGCCUUGGAUGAAAGUACCUUAUAAUAAAUAUAUAUCAUGUUUCGCAAA
rnacentral:lncRNA from 1 species